rnacentral:lncRNA from 1 species
CUCUUCUUCGUACACACUCUCCCUCUUUUGUUGCUCACAUACCGUAAAGCACGCCGUAGGCUAUACUGAGAGCCUGCCAGCGUAAGAGAGCCAGUAUUCGCAGGUUUGCUACAAUCAAUAAAUAUGCAAAAUCAUUAAAAUGAAAUUUGAAUUUUCAUCACUUACAGCACAAUUUUAAAGAAUGCUCAUGACCUCUGUUAUCUUGCCAGCGACGCGAGAAACAAGACAAACAUACCAAAAUCUAAGAAAUAUAAUGGGAAAGGCAAGAAGAAAGAGAUACCUCCUAAAACACAGCAGCUCAUAGUACCAAACCAUUGUAUGGUCUAGCUCCAAAAUCCUAAUUACCAAUUCAGUAAAUGCAACAUUAUUAGAAACAAUGAAGAAACAAAAGAAACUGAUGACCAAGUACUCCUACAACUGAAGAAUACGAAUUUCUGCCAGUACCAUUAUCUGCCAUCAAAUCAAACCACAGAUCUUUUUAACUAAAAUGAUCAUGGAGAAGAUCUCCUUAUGAAGCUCCAUCUAAAAACUUUUUAAAACUUAAUGUAAUAAAUGAUGCGGAAAUAAAUAAUGUUGUAACUCUCUCCAACUCUAU